UGAGAGUAACUGUUCAUGCAGUGACGGUAUUCAACCAGAAAGUCACGGCUAACUACGUGCCAGCAGCCGCGGUAAUACGUAGGUGGCAAGCGUUAUCCGGAUUUAUUGGGCGUAAAGCGAGCGCAGGCGGUUGCUUAGGUCUGAUGUGAAAGCCUUCGGCUUAACCGAAGAAGUGCAUCGGAAACCGGGCGACUUGAGUGCAGAAGAGGACAGUGGAACUCCAUGUGUAGCGGUGGAAUGCGUAGAUAUAUGGAAGAACACCAGUGGCGAAGGCGGCUGUCUGGUCUGCAACUGACGCUGAGGCUCGAAAGCAUGGGUAGCGAACAGGAUUAGAUACCCUGGUAGUCCAUGCCGUAAACGAUGAGUGCUAGGUGUUGGAGGGUUUCCGCCCUUCAGUGCCGCAGCUAACGCAUUAAGCACUCCGCCUGGGGAGUACGACCGCAAGGUUGAAACUCAAAGGAAUUGACGGGGGCCCGCACAAGCGGUGGAGCAUGUGGUUUAAUUCGAAGCUACGCGAAGAACCUUACCAGGUCUUGACAUCUUGCGCUAACCUAAGAGAUUAGGCGUUCCCUUCGGGGACGCAAUGACAGGUGGUGCAUGGUCGUCGUCAGCUCGUGUCGUGAGAUGUUGGGUUAAGUCCCGCAACGAGCGCAACCCUUGUUACUAGUUGCCAGCAUUCAGUUGGGCACUCUAGUGAGACUGCCGGUGACAAACCGGAGGAAGGUGGGGACGACGUCAGAUCAUCAUGCCCCUUAUGACCUGGGCUACACACGUGCUACAAUGGCCGGUACAACGAGCAGCUAACCCGCGAGGGUGUGCAAAUCUCUUAAAGCCGGUCUCAGUUCGGACUGCAGUCUGCAACUCGACUGCACGAAGUCGGAAUCGCUAGUAAUCGCGGAUCAGCAUGCCGCGGUGAAUACGUUCCCGGGCCUUGUACACACCGCCCGUCACACCAUGGAAGUUUGCAAUGCCCAAAGUCAGUGGCCUAACCAUUUUGGAGGGAGCUGCCUAAGGCAGGGCAGAUGACUGGGGUGAAGUCGUAACAAGGUAGCCGUAGGAGAACCUGCGGCUGGAUCACCUCCUUU
rnacentral:ncRNA from 1 species